UCACCUCACGCGGGAGAGCUCCCGCGACGUGAGGUCGUCCCGGUCGCGACGGCGCGGGGGACCGAGCGUCGGCGGGGCGCCGAAGGGGCAACAUCCCCGGAACCUCUCAGGCACCAGGACCGCGUGGGCAGG
rnacentral:ncRNA from 2 species